rnacentral:rRNA from 1 species
CACGGGGGGGAGCAAGCGUUGUUCGGAAUUACUGGGCGUAAAGGGUGUCUAGGCGGUCGAGUAAGUGAGAUGUGAAAUGCCCCGGCUCACCCGGGGACCUGCGUUUCAUACUGCUCGGCUCGAGUACGGGAGAGGAUGAGGGAAUUCCUGGUGUAGCGGUGAAAUGCGCAGAUAUCAGGAGGAACACCGGUGGCGAAGGCGGCCAUCUGGACCGCAACUGACGC